rnacentral:lncRNA from 1 species
CACAAUUGUGAAAAACCCCCUGCAGUUCAAACUGCUCAAAAACUGCCACUGCGUAUUGGUACACGGGCCCACGUACCGGUACACAUCCCACGAAAAUGCCAAACCCGAGCCUCUGGUUGGCUAGGAAGCUGCCUGUGUACCGGUACACAAUCCCCUACCGGUACAACCAUCAACCCUGUACCGGUACAGCCAUCAACCCUGUACCAGUACACAGCCCAAUGAAGGCUACCCGAGAGCUAACCAAAAAUUCGAUUUUUCGGAUUUUGGUGCCAAGCUUUAAACCUCACUUCUCGGGAUUCGAACCAUAGGUCGGAACAGUGUCAACGACCCACCAGAAAGUCUG